GACGAACGCUGGCGGCGUGCCUAACACAUGCAAGUUGAGCGACGAACCAGGGCUUGCCCUGGGGCAGAGCAGCGAACGGGUGAGUAACACGUGGGUAACCUACCCCGAUAACCGGGACAACCCGAGGAAACUCGGGCUAAUACCGGAUGUGCUCACUGGACUUCGGUUCAGUGCGUAAAGGAAGCUUCGGCCUCCGUAUCGGGAGGGGCCCGCGGCCCAUUAGUUUGUUGGUGAGGUAACGGCUCACCAAGACCGCGAUGGGUAGCUGGUCUGAGAGGACGAUCAGCCACACUGGGACUGAGACACGGCCCAGACUCCUACGGGAGGCAGCAGUGGGGAAUCUUGCGCAAUGCGCGAAAGCGUGACGCAGCAACGCCGCGUGGGGGAAGAAGGCCUUCGGGUUGUAAACCCCUUUCAGGAGGGACGAAGGUUCGGCGGUGAAUAGCCGUCCGGACUGACGGUACCUCCACAAGAAGCCCCGGCUAACUACGUG
rnacentral:rRNA from 1 species